rnacentral:rRNA from 1 species
GACGAACGCUGGCGGCGUGCUUAACACAUGCAAGUCGAACGGAAAGGCCCUGCUUGCAGGGUCCUCGAGUGGCGAACGGGUGAGUAACACGUGGGUGAUCUGCCCUGCACUUCGGGAUAAGCCUGGGAAACUGGGUCUAAUACCGGAUAGGAGCCAUUUUUAGUGUGAUGGUUGGAAAGUUUUUUCGGUGUAGGAUGAGCUCGCGGCCUAUCAGCUUGUUGGUGGGGUAAUGGCCUACCAAGGCGGCGACGGGUAGCCGGCCUGAGAGGGUGGACGGCCACAUUGGGACUGAGAUACGGCCCAGACUCCUACGGGAGGCAGCAGUGGGGAAUAUUGCACAAUGGGCGCAAGCCUGAUGCAGCGACGCCGCGUGGGGGAGGACGGCCUUCGGGUUGUAAACGCCUUUCGCUAGGGACGAAGCUUUUUGUGACGGUACCUAGAUAAGAAGCACCGGCUAACUACGUG